rnacentral:rRNA from 1 species
GACGAACGCUGGCGGCGCGCUUAACACAUGCAAGUCGAGCGAAGCGGCGGACGGGUGAGUAACACGUGAGUAACCUGCCUUAGACAUUGGGAUAGCCUCGGGAAACCGUGAUUCAUACCAAAAGGUCUAAGAUGGACUCGCGUCCCAUUAGCAAGUUGGUGAGGUAACGGCCCAUCAAGGCGACGAUGGGUAGCCGGCCUGAGAGGUGGAACGGCGACAUUGGAACUGAGAAACGGUCCAAACUCUACGGGAGGCAGCAAUGGGGAAUAGUGCACAAUGGAGGGAACUAUGAUGGAGCGACGCCGCGUGAACGAAGAAGUCUUUCGAGUCGUAAAGUUCUUUUAUAUGGGAGGCGGUACCAAAAGAAAAAGCCCCGGCUAACUACGUGCCAGCAGCCGCGGUAAUAC